rnacentral:rRNA from 1 species
AACGAACGCUGGCGGCAUGCCUAACACAUGCAAGUCGAACGAGACCUUCGGGUCUAGUGGCGCACGGGUGCGUAACGCGUGGGAACCUGCCCUUAGGUUCGGAAUAACUCCCCGAAAGGGGUGCUAAUACCGGAUAAUGUCUUCGGACCAAAGAUUUAUCGCCUUUGGAUGGGCCCGCGUUGGAUUAGCUAGUUGGUAGGGUAAAAGCCUACCAAGGCGACGAUCCAUAGCUGGUCUGAGAGGAUGAUCAGCCACACUGGGACUGAGACACGGCCCAGACUCCUACGGGAGGGAGCAGUGGGGAAUAUUGGACAAGGGGCGAAAGCCUGAUACAGCAAUGCCGGGUGAGUGAUGAAGGCCGUAGGGUUGUAAAGCUCUUUUACCCGGGAUGAUAAUGACAGUACCGGGAGAAUAAGCACCGGCUAACUCCGUG